CUAGAAUCAGCACCCAUUUUAUUCCUUUCUCAUAGCUACCACAUGAAUUCUUUUAUCUCAUUUCUUCAUUUAUAAGUGGAGAUAGUAAUAGAAAAUCCUCCACUAGCAUCGGUAAGAUAUGACUAGUAAUAGUAUAGACCUCCGCGGAUUGUUAUGGUGAUGAAGGAGACAAGACAGUGAGAGUGAGCCUGAGGUGCUUACUAUAGAACCUGACAAAUAUCCCCUAGUAAGGGAACCAGAAGUCUCAGGGCUUUUCUGCCCAGUGUGUAGCCUUUGGCAGCACGUGGCUAUUGAGCAUGCAACGUGUGUCUAGCCUGAAUUGGAAUGUGCUUGCUCUAGGUGUAAAAUAUAUGCUGGAUUUUGAAGAUUUGUAGAAAACAAAGUAAAAUAUCUCAAUUUUUAAUAUUUAUUACAUGUUGGAAUGAUAAUAUUUUGGCUAUAUUGGGUUAAAGAAAAUCCAUUAUUAAAAUUAAUUUCACAUGUUUCACUUUAAUGUUUUAAUGUGGUCACUAGAAAAUUUAAAAUAAGAUACAGUUAUGCAUCCCAUAGCGACAGGGACACGUUCUGAGAAAUGCAUUGUUAGGCGUUUUCCUCAUUGUGUGAACAUCAUAGGGUACUUAUGCAAACCUAGUUGGUAUAGCCUACUGCACAUCUAGGCUAUAUGGGAUAGCCUAUUGCUCCUAGGUUCCAAAUCUGUACAGCAUGUUACUGUACUGAAUACUAUAGGCGGCUGUAACACAUGGUGUUGUGUAUCUAAACAUAGAAAAGGUAUGGUAAAAAUAUGGUAUAAAAUGGUAUACCUGUGUAGGGCACUUACCAUGACUGGAGCUUGCAGGACUGGGAGGUGCUUUGGGUGAGUCAGUGAGUGAGUGGUGAGUGAAUGUGAAGGCCUGGGACAUUCUUGUACACUACCAUAGACUUUGUAAACACUGUGCACUUAGGCUACACUAAAUUUAUUUUUAAGAUUUUUCUUUCUUCAAUAAUAAAUUAACAUUAGCUAACUGUAACAUUUUUACUUUAUAAACUUUUAAUUUAAAAAAGCUUUUGGUUGGGCACAGUGGCUCAUGCCUGUAAUCCCAGCACUUUAGGCGGCCAAGGCAGGCGGAUCACGAGGUCAGGAGUUAGAGACCAGCCUGACCAACAUGGUGAAACCCCUUCGCUACUAAAAAUACAAAAAUUAGCCAGGCUUGGUGGUGCACACCUGUAAUCCCAGCUACUCAGGAGGCUGAGGCAGGAGAAUCGCUUGAACCUGGGAGACGGAGGUUGCAGUGAGCCGAGAUCGCGCCACUGCACUCCAGCCUGGGCGACAGAGCGAGACUGCGUCUCAAAACAAAAAACAAACAAACAAAAAAACCUUUGAACUUAUUUGUAAUAACAUAGCUUAAAACACAAACACAUUGUACAGCUGUACAAAAGUAUUUUCUUUAUAUUGUUAUAAGCUUUUUUUCUAUUUUUAAAAAGUGUUUUUUUAGCUUUUUAAACUUUUUUUUUUUUGUUAAAAACUAAGACACAGACACACUCAUUAGCCUUGGCCUACACAGGGUCAGGACCAUCACUAUGUUCCACCUCCACAUCUUGUUCCUCUGGGAAGUCUUCAGGGGCAGUAAAACACAUGGAGCUGUCAUCUCCUGUGAUAAUAAUUCCUCUUUGGGGAAUACCUCCUGAAGGGCCUGCAUAAGGCUGUUUUACAGUUAACUUUUUUUUUUUCCUAGUAAGAAGGAGUAACACUCUAAAGUAAAGAUGAAAAGUAUAGUAUAGUAAAUACAUAAACCAGUAACAUGGUCAUUUAUUAUCAUUAUCAAGUAUUAUGUACUGUACAUGAUUGUGUGUGCUAGACUUUUAUAUUACUGGCAGUGCAGUAGGCUUGUUUAUUAUACCAGCAUCACCACAAACACACAAGUAAUUCAUUGCACUCGGACCUUAGGAUAACCACAACAUCACUAGGCAAUAGCAAUUUUUCAGCUCCAUUAUAAUCUUAUGGGAUCACCUACAUAUAUGUUGUCCGUCGUUGACUGAGACACCCAUGAUUGAAUGUGGUUCAUAUUAUCUUUCUCUCAAACAGUGGAUGUGGUUUGGGGUUUUCUUUUUUUUUUUUUUUUUUUUUUUUUUUUUUGAGAUGGAGUCUUGCUCUGUCACGCAGGCUGGAGUGCAGUGACGCAAUCUGGGCUUACUGCAAGCUCCGCCACUCGGGUUCACGCCAUUCUCCUGCCUCAGCCUCCCAAGUAGCUGGGACUACAGGCACCCACCACCACGCCCGGCUAAUUUUUGGUGUUUUUAGUAGAGACGGGGUUUCACUGUGUUAGCCAGGAUGGUCUCGAUCUCCUGACCUCAUGAUCCGCCCACCUUGGCCUCCCAAAGUGCUGGGAUUACAGGCAUGAGCCACCGUGCCCAGCCGCGUGUGGUUUUCAAUUGUUACCAGCAAUCAUGACCUUUCAUGGACUCCACAGCAUUAGAAGAACAACGUUUAUGGCCUUCAAGAACUUUCAGGGUGAAGCUAUUUCUCUAGGAUCAGCUUUUCAUGUGGCAGUAGCCUUGGGCCUGUCACAGCCCUGUAUCUCAUCUUCUCACCAACCCUGGUUUAGUUUUCAACAGACAGAAAUUUGAGCCAGAAGAAAUGGAUGUCACUACACAGUUCACCCCUGACAUCUGUGAUAGUGUAUGUUAUCACUGACAUGUUCUCAUUUAAACUAUGUUAUAAGAGCAAGGAGAAAGAAGUAAGAAAAAUUUGCUAUCAUGUAGAAAAUUCUGGGGAACCUCAAAUAACUCACUUUAUAUUUAGCAGGAGUUUAUGCUUCAGAGAUCAUCUGUCCCUGCAAUAGACAUUUUAUCAUGGUAAGGGUGUGGUCAGCAAUAGAAAACUAUGAUCUCAGCAGAAGUCCCUCUACCACCCCAUAGCUUAGUAAUUUUCUUACCAACAGCUAGCUGAGGUAGUGUGCAUCCCAGACGCUCCGCAAUUGGGGAAAGGUCUUUUAGCUUGUUUUGCUGUUUUCUCCCUUCUUCACUUACAAUUCUUUCUUUCAACCACUGGUAGCACUGGGGAAAAGCAUAACAUUGAAAUGUUAAUGUCUGGUAAAGAUCUGAUGUCAAAGAAUGGUAAUUCAAUAAAAUAUGUGAACCUCA
rnacentral:lncRNA from 1 species